AUCCUGGGGUUACUGGAUGCUGUGGUUUGUAUACAGUGAAUUGAAGGGGCCAGACCAGUUCUGUGAUUGAUGCAUGGUGGCUGUUUUUCUUUAGCAGCCUCUGUAUCCCAGCCACUGAUACAUGG